rnacentral:rRNA from 1 species
UGGGGAAUAUUGCACAAUGGGCGAAAGCCUGAUGCAGCGACGCCGCGUGAGGGAUGACGGCCUUCGGGUUGUAAACCUCUUUCAGCAGGGAAGAAGCGAAAGUGACGGUACCUGCAGAAGAAGCGCCGGCUAACUACGUGCCAGCAGCCGCGGUAAUACGUAGGGCGCAAGCGUUGUCCGGAAUUAUUGGGCGUAAAGAGCUCGUAGGCGGUUAGUCGCGUCUGCUGUGAAAACUCGAGGCUCAACCUCGGGCUUGCAGUGGGUACGGGCUGACUAGAGUGCGGUAGGGGUGACUGGAAUUCCUGGUGUAGCGGUGGAAUGCGCAGAUAUCAGGAGGAACACCGAUGGCGAAGGCAGGUCACUGGGCCGCAACUGACGCUGAGGAGCGAA